AAUGGAGGCAACUCUGAACCAGCCAUGCCGCGUGAAGGGUGACGGCCUAUGGGUUGUAAACUUCUUUUAUAUGGGAAGAACUUAUCUACGUGUAGAUAACUGACGGUACCAUACGAAUAAGGAUCGGCUAACUCCGUGCCAGCAGCCGCGGUAAUACGGAGGAUCCAAGCGUUAUCCGGAUUCAUUGGGUUUAAAGGGUCCGUAGGCGGAUUUUUAAGUCAGUGGUGAAAGCCGACAGCUCAACUGUCGAACUGCCUUUGAUACUGGAAAUCUUGAGUACAAAUGAAGUAGGCGGAAUGAGUCAUGUAGCGGUGAAAUGCAUAGAUAUGACUCAGAACACCAAUUGCGAAGGCAGCUUACUAACAUGUAACUGACGCUGAGGGACGAAAGCGUGGGGAGCGAACAGGAUU
rnacentral:rRNA from 1 species